UAAGCACUUUGGUUGCCUUGGCUUUUAUAAGUGCUAUACAAAUAAUAAAUUGAUUGAUUGAUUGACAUGUCCUCUCCCCCGUGAACUGUUUCCCACCUCCCCUGAUGGCGUGGAGCUCUCCAAACAGUUUCCUCUUUGCGUUUGACUUCUAGCUGUCUUUGACCCCGAUUGGUUGAUGUGAGAUUUUAUCAAAUAAGUAAACCUUUCUCCCUGAGUGUUUACUUGCAAAAGACAAACCCUGCAAAGGCUGUGUCUUAUGAGAAUGUCAUGGUGCCUCUGUCAGUCCCACCCCUCUCUGCCCUGCUCCGGAGGAUUCCCAGCUGUUGCCACUCACCUCAUCAGCCUGCUGCCUUCUUAAGGAGAUCCACAGCCAGUAUUCGUCGCCAGUUCGUUGCUCCUCCAUGGAAGUUAUCACCAUGAGUGCUAACUGGGAUUCCCUCCGGAACGGUCUGAUCAUUCCACGCUCGCCUCGUCAGCUGUUCAUGCCCUCACAGCCUUCACAGAAGUCCUCCAGUCACGCCACGUCUUCCUGUUACUCACCUGCAAUCUGGAACCAAGAUGGAAAAUCACCUGCAAGAAAAAUAAAUCAAAAUACUUACCAUAAA